GUGUGCGCUCUGCGUCGUCCAUCGGUCUGCAAUAUAAUCCACCAAGCAAAGGAAAUAAUAGCCUCUCUCACUCGUGGAAUAGAAUACAUAGGAGAGGAGAGAAUAGAGAUGCAGGGGGAAAUCUGCUAGACACGUCUCGAUCGAUCUCCCUAUAUAUACUAGCACCAGAUUUUACUUUUGAUUUACCACCCCUGCUGAUCUCGUACGUACAACUAGCUAGCAGGCUCUACUACUCCAUAGCCAACACUAGCUGCAGCAGCACUGCUGCUCCGGCCUCCGGUCAUGGACGACUACGGCAACGCGAGCGCGGGCACGGCGGCGCCGCAGCCGCAGCAAUAUUACUGCCGCUCCGUGUCGCCGCCGUCCAGGGUGUCGUCGUCGUGCUCGCCGCCACCGCCUCCUCCUCCUCCCGCUGUCCUGCAGGUGGUGGGCAACGUGCCGCCGCCGACCGUCGUCCUGAGCCCGUGCGCGGCGUGCAAGAUCCUCCGCCGCCGCUGCGCCGACGGCUGCGUGCUGGCUCCCUACUUCCCGCCGACCGAGCCCGCCAAGUUCACCACGGCGCACCGCGUCUUCGGCGCCAGCAACAUCAUCAAGCUCCUCCAGGAUCUGCCGGAGAGCUCGCGCGCGGACGCGGUGAGCAGCAUGGUGUACGAGGCGGAGGCGCGGCUGCGGGACCCAGUGUACGGGUGCGCGGGGGCGGUGUGCCGGCUGCAGAAGCAGGCCAACGAGCUCAAGGUGCAGCUGGCGCGCGCGCAGGCCGACCUGCUCAACGCGCAGGCCAAGCACGCCAACCUGCUCGCCCUCUUCUGCGUCGAGAUGGCCAAUCGCCGCGGCAACCAGCAGCACCCGUCGCCGCUGACGACGAUGAUGGACGGCGGCGGCGGCGGCGGAUUCGGCGCGGCGGCGUACUACCAGCAGACGACGUUGUACGACUCGGACCUGGACUCGGCGACGACGUGGCCGGAUCACGAAGCCCAGCUCUGGACCUAGCUCAUGCUUCUAUCGAUCUCGACUACUACAAGUACUUUUUGUUGCAUAAACAAAUACUAGCUAGUACGUAGCACAUGCAUGUGCGUUCUGCAACGGCAACGUUUGCAUCUUGUCGGAUGCUGCUGCAAGAACGCUGUGCAGCCGGCCGUAAUUACGAAGUAUACCCCCGUCAAUAUACGAUUAGUUGCUCUUGAUGAAU
rnacentral:misc_RNA from 1 species